UGAAAUCUAAUUUUUUGAGGAAGUUCCUACCUGGAUAAAGAGAUAAAAAUAUUCAUUUGUAUGUGGAAUGAAGUAUAGGACUCCCUUUCCAUGGUCAGUGGGCAUAAAAAGAGAAGUAAAAUAUUGUCCCUGCUUAUGGAGCUCAGUCUAGUGGGUGAGUCCACACAUUAAGAAACACUGAGAAUAGAAUUGCAGGGACAGAACUAACACGAGACCACAAAGGAAGCGCAGCUGCCAGAGUAUGAAAAGAGAAGCCCUGGAGAAGGUGCCAACUGAGCCUAGCAAGAGUAGGAGUUGGCCAGAUCCAGAAUUCACUCUGCUAUUUCUCAAGAGUCUGACCUGCAUCAACAGCCUCCCUUAUUCUGUGAUCCCAGUUUUGGAGAUCAAGGACAAGUUCAUUCUGGGUUGGCCGUGUCCAACUACUUUAAGCCAGCUACAUCCCCACCGGAAGCCAGGCUCUUGCCAACAGCUGUCUCCACAUUCCUCUUUCUAUGUCUGUUAUUUGUCUCUAGGUUCUGGUAACUACUUCCUCCUUUUGCCCCUUCUGGCCUAGGAUACCACCAAUCCCUCCUCCCAAUCAUGCUUUCACUAGCCUCAAAGUACUUGUAGCUUCCUCCCUUUACCUUCACCUUAAUAAAUUAUCCCCCUACUAUCUCUCUUCA
rnacentral:lncRNA from 13 species